AGUAACGCGCGAGAAUCUGGCUUCAGGUCUGGGACAACCACUGGAAACGGUGGCUAAUACCGGAUGUGCCGAGAGGUGAAAGGUUAACUGCCUGAAGAUGAGCUCGCGUCUGAUUAGCUAGUUGGCAGUGUAAUGGACUACCAAGGCGACGAUCAGUAGCUGGUCUGAGAGGACGAUCAGCCACACUGGGACUGAGACACGGCCCAG
rnacentral:rRNA from 1 species